rnacentral:rRNA from 1 species
AUUGAACGCUGGCGGCAGGCCUAACACAUGCAAGUCGAGCGGAUGAAGGGAGCUUGCUCCUGGAUUCAGCGGCGGACGGGUGAGUAAUGCCUAGGAAUCUGCCUGGUAGUGGGGGAUAACGUCCGGAAACGGGCGCUAAUACCGCAUACGUCCUGAGGGAGAAAGUGGGGGAUCUUCGGACCUCACGCUAUCAGAUGAGCCUAGGUCGGAUUAGCUAGUUGGUGGGGUAAAGGCCUACCAAGGCGACGAUCCGUAACUGGUCUGAGAGGAUGAUCAGUCACAGUGGAGCGGAGACACGACCCAGACUCAUACGGGGGGAAGGAGGGGGAAAUAUUGAAGAAGGGGCGAAAGCUUGAUCCAGAAAUGCCGUGUGAGUGAAGAAGUUCUUGGAAUAGUAAAACAUUUUAAUUGGGGAGGAAGGAUGAAAAAAGAAAACCUUGUUGUUUUGACGGUACCAAAUAAAAAAGCCCGGGCUAACUCGGUG